UCCUAGAGGCAGCCCUGUAAGCACUCCUUUGGAAAGCCCAUUUUUUUACUAGCUGCAAAUAUACAUAGUUUUUGCAAAGUCAAGCCACAUCUCAUGUUAGCCUUCCUUUAAUCUGGUUACCAAUAACAGCACAAAUAAUUAGAUCAGCAAGUGGACUGUAAACUGCCCCUGGGCUUUAGCCUUAUCACGAGAUGAUCAACAGCCGCCGCUGGCUAGUGACUGCUUGAAAGAAGAUGUGCCUUUCCUAAGUGAUAUUCUGGCGUGGCGUGGAUCAAGGAAAUGAAGACAGCAACACCACACACUCUCCAUCUGAUAUUCAUGGAGGCUAUGACUGAUUCUGACAGCAGGGUGGAGCCAGAUAUUUUUUCAGGAUUGCCACUGCUGAAGGCAAGGGGAAAUUCACUACAGACCCAACCAAUGCAAAAAACAACCAAACAAAAACCACAAGACAAACCCCCCCCCGCCCCCCCCAAAAAACAAAAAAACCAAAAAAUCAAAAUCCCACAACUGUUUCUCUUCAUCCUGGAGGCUGAGCAUGUUGCCUCCCCUGCACUGUAAUACUAGUACAUAUUGCCUGAAUGGAUGAAAGUGCUCAGAGUUUAAAGGAUGUAAGCCCACUACUUGAAAACUGACAGUCAGGGUGAAAUAAAAUGCACUGUUUAGACUUCUUUAAAGAAGUGACCUGACAAAGUAAAACUGAAAAUGUGUAUGUGCGCGGGGGGGUGGGGGGGGGUGCGCGUGGGAAGAUGAACAACGGGUAGUAAAAUACUAGAUCCUUGAGAUUUUGUCAGCCAGAGACCUUCGCUAAUUUCUGUUGGUAGAGUCAGCCCUUCUCCAAAAUGAUCUCAGAGGUCAGUAAUCAUGUAAGAGGUCUCAAAUUUUGUACUACUCUGGAGUUUCUUAUUAUGCUCAUGUCAUAAGUUUAAAAAAAACAGUAAGAGUGAAAUAGAAACCAACUUCUUUACAUCAUCAGCCCCCAUUUUCCAGAUUAUGCCAUGUCAGUCCAUUCCUGCUCUCCUCUACCAUAUUACAAUUUCUCGCCCUUUUCCCCCAUAAGUCUGACACUCGCUAAUCUUUUGUCCUUAACCCAAACCAAGCUUGUCCCUUCUCAUUGUUUGUAUACUUAGUUAUUCCAGAAUCAAAGGUUAAUCACUCACAUUUUUC